GAAGGUGAUGCAGGGCAUCUGUGAAACUGCACGUGGCCCGUACAAGCUAAACCAUUAAUACAAAGAAUAGGAGAAAGCUUCAAGUGGUCCAUACAAGCUAAACCAUGAUCUGGAUCAAAAGUACAGUGAGUCUCCUACAAUUGUGCAGUUCUGGGACGAGUCACACAAGAA